AUUGCCGUCUCCAUCUCCGUUCGCGAAGCAAAACCGCCGCCGCUCGCCGAACCCAACCGCCACCCUCUCUUUUCUUCUUCAGAUCUAAACCGUCGCGCCCAUCCGCCUGUAACCGUCGUGCCUCUCCGCUCACAACCGUCGUGCCUCCCUCGCAAAGCAAAUCGUCGUCCAGAUCUGCCUCGCCGUGAACCAUUGGGCUCAUAUUUGGGUACAUCUUGAUUCAGUGAGCGAAUCCUUGAUUUUCCAAAAGGUUGAAGUGGACUUGAUUUUCCACUUCUUGGGAUUUGAUUCAUUGGAUUUAGUAGAUUGAAGAACUUGCAUAAAAGUGAGGAAAAGGAAAUAAAGGUGGCAAACCGGCGAGGGGCAGGAAGGAAGCGUGAUUGCCAUAGGAAAUGUGUUAUUUUGCUUCCGCUUAUGAUUUCUUUUAAGCAGGUUGGUAAUGUAGAAAGGAUACAUGUAUACUAUGCCCACGGACUAGAUAGCCCAACCUUUGUUCGCCGGUGUUAUUGGCUCCUAGAUAAGACCUUUGAACACAUUGUCCUUGUUCAUUACCGUGAAACACAAGAGUUUCAGAAUUUUCCA